AGGACGCCGCCGCAGUCGCCGGUCUGGCAGUGGCCGUUGCCGUUGGAAUCGAAGGAGCAGCCGGUGCGAGCCCAGACGCGGCCGCCGGUGGUGCCGUCAGCCACGUUGAAGGUCCAGGACUGACCUGGGUUGAGCUGGGCGCCGCCGCCGGGGGAGGCGGCGCCCCAGACGGUGUAGGAGCAACGGUUGACGACGUUGAAGGUCGAGGCGGCGGCGAGAGGGACGAGGGCGAGGAGCAGGAGAGGGAGAGUGGUUUGUGUGGCCAUUUUUGAGGAGAAAAUGGAUUUAGAGUGUUGUUGUUGUUGUUGUUGUUAAGUGUGGUGUUGUGUGUAGGAAAGGAGGGGGGGAAGAGGGAGUGCAAUUUAUAGAGGUUUCGGAGAGGUCGCAUGGGGGAAGUUGUGCGGACGUUUUGAGAUUAAGAGGAAAAUUCAAAUAUUACGUACUAUAAACAAUGUGGCUAGUUAAUUGGCCGCGUAUGUAGGGAUGUUGAUGUUUCGACUUAUGCGUAACGCUUGUAUUCUCUUGUCACCAAGAAAAAAUAUACGUUUAAGUCUAACAGGGAGAGAAUAUAUUUUACUCUCUAGAUACCAAAUAAAUAUUCCCAAGAGAUAAAAAAUCUUAUUAGAUUGUAGUGUCAGAAAAAAAAAAAAAAAAAUCUUGACCAAAUGCACCUUCAUAUUAUUUCUUUUCAUUAAUUGCACUAUCUGAAGGCGAGUUCCAAGUUUCUUUGUCUAAAGCCCAGAUGGAGCAUUAAAUGCGUCUGUUGCCCCUCUUCCUCGGGAGUCGGGAGCCACGCCAUCCUUCGCAUCCCCGGCCCCUGUUGUCCUCGCACCCCCUGAUGGAAAAACUUCCUCGGGCCCCACUUUUGUACUCGGACUGGAGCUCAACCAGUUGUGUACUUGUGUUGGGACCUCUCUAUUCUCCGAUGCGGACCGGGCCUCUCACCGAGCCCAACUACGCUCCGGCUCCAUCUUCUCUUUCCCCCCCGGUUCCGACCCAGUUGGUCAUUGGGCUCAGCUCCCGGCCCAUCGGGGCUGCGUUAUGGGCUACCCUACUUCGCAGUCCAGCGCGGGCCAUGGGGUUGCGCUAGUGUUACACGUCACCAAUUCCCCCGCAACUGCCUAUGCUGUUUCUUUGGAAAAAAUUCUAAAAUGCAACGGGUAUAUUGAUGAUGUGACGUAACAAAUCAAUAAAAAAAAUUUUUAAAAAAAUAUAUGUCCCAUCAUGAUUAUAAAAAAAAUAUUUUUAUUGUACUUUUGUUUGAAAAGAAAAAAGGUGAUUGGCUUGUUAUUGAUGACGUGGUGCAAGUGUGAUAGUGUAGAAUUCUUCGUUUCUUUGCGCCAGUCUCAAUUGGAGCGAUCGCCACGUCGCCAACGCCUCUCCCGCUCCCGUUUCUCUGACGGAGUCUCCUUCCAUUAACAAGCACCCUCCAUCCGACCUCUCCGUUAAAGAAGUCGCGACCGCUCCCAGUGUCAGCAGGCGAAAGUAAUAUAAUCGGGCGAGACGACGACUUAUAAACAAAAUAAAAUGACAAAAUUGGUGCAAUUAAAGAAUCAGGUGAUUCAUCUACCGUACCGUCUUUAUGAGGGCAAACAAAUCACUGUAGAAAGCUUUUUAAAAACACUUCAUUAGAAAGCCUUCAAUUUAUUGUCUCAUGCAAAAAUAUAAUUUUUUUAAAAAAAUUACAAGUUAUAUGAAUUUCUGAACGAGAAAUCUCGACCGGUUGCAUAAAAAUUAUAAGUUAUAUAUAUAAAUUUCUUACGAAUCAAUAACAUCGCUUUGGACCGACCGUUUCGGUGAUUGGUAUAUGAGAUUCCAAGUUCGAAUUUUAGUUGAUUCACAUUUUCAGCUAAAUUUUUUUCUAUAUAAAAUAAAUGAAGCGUGUAUUAUGUUAACUAUCUCUUAAAAAAAAGAAAAAAAAGAAAAAAACAUCGCUUUGGCUUUAUCAUUGGAAAACCGAAGUUCAUAAAAGAAAAGACUGACCCACACGGUUUUCUCUGACUCCCAUAAAUAAAGCAAACCUAUCAAUUGCUAGGUCAACGUUGACCCAGGAAAAACGUAGCCGUUAUAAAAGUUGAUUUUAAAAGAUGGCGGGAACGGCCUGUGGAGUUAUAUAAACCAAAUUAUUUGAAAAGUCUGGUUGUUUUGAUGGCUUAUUUUUUGGAUUUUGGUUCCGUGGAACAUUCAAUGAACAUUUAUUACAAUUUAAAUCACUACUACAAUUUUUUUUUUUCCCUUUCAAUUUAAACAACCAACUUUGUCUCUCUAUCUCUCUCAAAAAAAAAAAAAAAAAAAGCUUUGUCUCUCUAUAGUCAACCGAAAAGCCAAAUGUGAAAAAAAUAUUUGUAGAGUGUUCUAUUAUUUGAUUAAUUGUUCUUUUAAGUAGUGCUACGGAAGGAGCCCGUAUUUUUAAGUUAAAAAAGUUUUUACUUUAUUUAGAGCACAAAAUUUUAUUUUUCAUUCAGCUUUUUAUUGCAGCAGCCUACAUAAUAAAUGAGAAAAUGUCGUAACUGUGUAUAUUUCCUAUCCAACCAAAUGAAUCAUGCUUAUUACUUUUAUUUCAAUCUAAACAAUCCCCAUGGAAGGAGCUUCUACAGAGUAGCCACCUUCUCUUACACAAUUACUUUAUUCCACAAUGCUUUAUUCAAGACGCAUACAAUACGUAGGCAUACGUGCAUGUAUAGAUACCGCUAUACGUAUAGUAGUAUAUAACUGUGAUCUAAGGGCAAAACACAACCUGGUAGUUGGUGUUUCCAGGGCAAGUGAAAGUGGUGCCGUCGUAAUCGUCAGGAUAGCUGAAUGCCUGAGGGCACUGGCCCUUGAAGUACUCGGAGUACUGCGUCGGGUUGCAGCUGCUCCCGGACGGGCAGCAGUACUCCGGCGCCCCGAAGAUCGUGCAUGGGUCAUCGCACCCGCCGGACACCUGCAGCGGCGCCGGGCAGUUCGCAUUUACGUUGGCGGCGCAGCUCGGCCCCGACGUGCAGCCAUUCGACGUCGGCGUGAAGCUCAGCGGCACGUUGAACCCUGAAAACAAAGCGGUUCAUUCAUUCACAAAUUUGUACUGUAAAUUAAACACUGCUCUCUAAUAGUAUAAGUUUAUAGAAUGAAAGUACCAGCCACGAGGGAGAUGUCAAAGUAGUCGAGGCCCCCAGACUGGUCGAGAGAAUACUCGGCGAGAGUAUUGGGGUUCUGUCCGUAGCCGGUGCAGGCGAGGACGCCGCCGCAGUUGCCGGUCUGGCAGUUGCCGUUGCCGUUGGAGUCGAAGGAGCAGCCGGUGCGAGCCCAGACGCGGCCGCCGGUGGUGCCGUCAGCCACGUUGAAGGUCCAGGACUGGCCCUGGUCGAGCUGGAUGCCGCCGCCGGGGGAGGCGGCGGCCCAGACGGUGUAGGAGCAUUGGUUGAUGACGUUGAAGGUGGAGGCGGCGGCGAGAGGGAGGAGGGCGAGGAGCAGGAGAGGGAGAGUGUUUUGUGUGGCCAUUUCUGGGGAGAAAAUGGAUUUAGAGUGUUGCUGUUGUUGUUGUUGUUGUUGUGAGUAGCUAAGAAGGGGGAGGGAGUGCAAUUUAUAGAUGAUUUGGCGAUGUUGCAUGGGGGAAUUUAUGCUUACGUUUUGAGAUGAAGAGGAAAAUUCAAAGAUUGCUGCGACCAAAGUGACUAAUUAAUUGGCCGUGAAUGUAGGGAUGUUGAUGUUUGGACUUAUUGCAUAACGCUUUUAUUCUCUCAUCAGAAAAUCUCUCUCUCUCUCUCUCUCUCUCUCUCUCUCUCUCUCUAUAUAUAUAUAUAUAUAUAUAUAUAUAAUUUUAAAAGGGAGAUAAUAUACUUUACUCUCUAAAUACCAAAAAAAUAUACACUUAAUUCUUUUCAAAAGAUCAAAAAAAUGUUGAAAAAAAUAGUGAUAUGACUAAAUACGCCUUCAUAUUAUUAUCACAAUUAUGUUUCCUCUUAAGAAAGUUAAGUGCAUACUUCUUUUUUAUUUAAGAGGUUAAAUAUUACCGAUGUAAGUUUUCGGAAGAAUCAAAUGCAUACUAUUUUUAUUCAAGGAGUUUAGUGCAAUAAUAUGUGAAAUGUUGAACAGGAUCAAGUAUAGUUUAGCCCAUACAUAAUUGCGUUUUGCUUCCCACAUAGAGUUGGUUGUUGCCUCAUUUUAGGGUUCACUUGACCUAUGUAGAGCUGGAGGAGAAAUUCUACUAUAUAUUUUCUUUAAAGGGGUAAUUAAAAUCUAUGCAUCUGUCUUUGGGUGUAAUUAGAGGAAGUAAUGUUGUGCUCACUUUCCAAAUUGCGGAGUAGAAUUAGAUGGUAAAAGCUACAUCAUUAGUGGAUCGACACAAAUUACAUAAGGAUAGUCCACUGUAAUUAGGGACUGUUUAAUUGUAUAUAAUUGCAAUUACGUGGCAAUGAUGUAUGGGUGGUAGAAGAGGAGGAGGAGGAGAAGGGAAAGAAAGCGGAAGGAGAAGGAGAGGAAGAAACGACGAGAUAGGAGAUGAACCAAAGCGGAAAAAAAAAAAAAAAAUGAACAAGCGAAAAAAGAAAAAGGAGAGAACUCAGCAUCGAUAUGAGGGGGGGGUGGGAGGAGACGAAUCGGAGCGGAAGGAAAAAAAAGAACGAGCGAAAAAAAGAAGAAACAAAAAAAAAUAAGGUUAUUUUGUCAGUUUACUAAAAAUUCGGACUGAAUUUGCAAGAUCCAAAAUAGUAAUUUAUUUUUAUAAAAUUUUAAAACUGGUGAAUUUUUUAUGCAAAUUGGCCUAAAUAUAAAGUUCUUUUGGGCUACUCCAAUAAGAAGUAUUGAACUACCUUUUGUAUUUCAAUUGCUGGAAAAACUAUGUUAGUAGUUAAGUUACCCAAGCAUUCUAGGAUUAUAUUUUGAAUAAAAUUUUAAUGAGAAGCUCCCCAGCAAGACAUUGUUGGAGAGUACUUGAUUCACUGCUACGUGUUAGUUUUAACUCUACCUAAAAAUUUAUUGGAUAAUUUUUUUUUAAAAAAUAAUUUUUUAGAUAGUGACAAAAUUGACACAUGAUUGUAGAUCGGAGCUCAUCAACGAGACGACGGUGUAGAGUUUCCUAAUAAAGGUUUUUCUAUUUUCAAAAAUAUUUUAUCAGUAAAGUUGGUCAAGAAACAGUGAUAAUUUUUUUAUUAAAAAUUCAAUACUGUCGUUUUUAUUAAGAGUAGAAGUUUUAAACUAAAAUUUAUGUGUUUUUUGGACCCACAGUAUCUCAUUUUGCUUUUCCACUAGUUCAAAACUUUUAUACUUUUUUGUCUGCUAAAUAGGGUUUUAUUUGAACAAGUAAGAGUUUGAAUGACAACCGCGAUAAUCAAUCAAUUAUAUCGUAAAGAGUCAUGAUCAUUUGAGCUGGCAUUUAAUUAUAAAAUUAGAUUAUAACACUUAUCUUUUAAAAGAUAGUUUAAAGACCUUAAGCAACAUAAGAGAGUAAACCUCAAUUAUUCAAUCUUUUUUCCUUUUUUUUUCCCAUAGAACUACAUACUUUUCCACAGGCAUUUAAAUGCUUAUUAAUUUCUAUCUUUUUUGUACCCUGAAAACGAAAAGGACAUAAUACACUUGCCUAACACUCAAUCAAUAUUCCACAAAAAUAAUCUUCCAAAAGUAUAAUGGAAUACUCCAUGACUGGCAACAUUUUAUAAAAAAAUUUUCCACAGUUCUUAAAUUAUGCAAUAAGCGAGCCUACUUCCUAUGGCACCCUUAGAAUUUACAAUAGUUUUAUGGCUAAAUUACAGAAAAUCCCCCUUGUAAUAAUCUGCUUUUUCACUUUUUUUCUCUAACAUUUAAAAACCUACACUUUGCCCUCCUGUAAAAUGAAAAAUGUUCACAGAGGGGUUACGGUAUGUAAAAUGACCAUUUUGCCCCUCACCAUUAUCGUCUUCUUCCCCAUCUUCCUCAGCCGCUCCUUCGUUCGGCCGCGAUUCCCACCUCAAUCGGCCGCGAUUUCUCUCCAUUUUCUUCUCCACCUGCUCCCCUUCUCCUCCUGCACCCUCGCCGCCCUCGAUUUCGGCGACAGUAGGAAAAACCGAGGUGGGCGACAGUAGGAGAAGGGCAAAGGCGGCGAAGGACGGCAAAGGGGAUGUGGGUAAGGGCGAGACAGUGGAGGACGGCGAGGCGGCUAGGCGGCGAGGCGGCGGCGAGGUGGCGAGCCGGAGGGAGGCGAAGCAACAGGAAGAUGGCGGAGGGGUAUUUUCGGCAUAAAAAUAUAUUUUUUAACGGAAUCCUAACGGUAGGGGGUAAAGUGCACAUUUUUUAUUUUACCGGAGGGCAAAAUGUAGGUUUUUAAAUAUCAGGGAGGGAAAGUGAAAAGGCGGGUUAUUACAAUGGAUUUUCUGUAAUUUAGCUUGGUUUUAUAUAUAAAGUAUAUAUAAUAUGACUAAAUCUCUCAAUCCGGCUAGAAUAUAUUUGACGAUGGUUUGAUCCAAAAAAUUAAGAAAAUUAAGUAUGAUAGAGUUAGAAUAGUUUUAGAAUAAACGACUCCUUGGCCUUGGAGAGCGAAGCGUCACACUUCCCAUGUUUAUGCAGUUAAUUAAUCCAAGUCACGUGAUUUAACUUAAAAUGGAACUUUGAAACUUCCUUAUCUUACUUGACAAGUUCCAGAAUCCUAAUUUCCAAGCACAUUUUCCACCACGAUUCUUAAAGACCAAUCAAUAAUUUCUCAAAUUUUUGGUACAUAUAUCAUUUGCCGUCACCUUUGACCGGCAUUUUCCGUCACCGAAUUUGACCUAAAAUAAGUCUAAGAAAUUUCCAACUAUAUCUGAAGUUCCAUUGUCAAAACAGGAGAAGAGAAACAUAAUAAUUUUCCAGGCAUAUUAGAUUUUCAAGAAUAUUCUCAUCACUUUCUUAAUAUUCUUCGUGUUAAAUAUAAAAAAAUAUAAACAUAGUUCUCUCACAGUUUAAGAUUUUAAAAUACAACGGUUGUUUUACAUAGUAUUAGAAAAGGUAUUAGAACAGGAGAUUCUGAGUUCGAAUCACAUCAGGCUCUUAGCAUUAUUAAUUUUUUCUCAUGUCCUUAGUUCAAGUCACGUCACACUCCUAAUAUUAUUAAUUUCUUUCUAUUUAAUUCAAGUUCACGUUACAAAUCUUGCAAAAAGUUUCGAGCCCAGACGUUAUUGAGAGUGCUAAAUAUAAACAUAUAUGAAUAUCGUUAUCUCAUAAUUUAAACUUUUAGGUAUCGUUUGGUUCGGUGAUAAGCAAAAAGUGGCUAUUUCAGGAAUAGGUAUAAAUUGAGGUAUAAGCGGGGAUUUGAUCAAUUUUGCGUUUGGAUGAAAAUUUAGUUACUCUUAGGGAUAAAAAAAAUAGCGUCUGGUUAGGUAAGAUAGAAUAAGAAAGAUAGUGAAUUUUUAUAAAUAAAAAAUAAUGAUAUUACCCUUUUAUUAUAUUUGAAUUUAAAUUUUUUGAUUUAUAUUUUUAAAUUUACAAUUUUAACUUUGAAAUUUUAAAUUUUGAAAUUACAAUUUAAAAUUUAAAAUCUCAAAUUUUAAAUUUUAAAUUUCAAACUUUAAAUUUAAGAUCAAAUUUAAAUUUGAAAAAUAUAAAAUAUCAAAUUUUAAAUUNAAUUGGGUUGGGAACAAUUAAUAAAAAUAAUUUUUUAUAAUAAAUUUAUAAUUUUUUUUUAAAAUUCUACUUAAACUUAAAUUUAAUAAAAAAAAUUUAUUAUAAUAUUUAAAAAUAAUUUAUUAUAAAAUUUAUUAUAAAAUUUAAAUAUAAAUAAUAUGUAUUAAUAUAGUGCAAUUAAUAAUUUUAUAAUAAAAAUAAUGAAUUAUAAUAUAUAAUAUAAUAUAUUUAUAUAAUUUAGUUUUAAUUCAAUUUAUAAUUUUAAUUAAGUUUGAAAUUAAGCAUUGAAAUAGUACUAUUCCACCAAAAUAGUGGAAUAGCAAAUCUCUUGCUAAUCCGGGAUAACCGGAAACAAGGACGAAGCUAUAUGGAGGCCCAAGGUGGCCAUGACCCCCCUCAACUUUUCAAUAUUUGUUUAAUGGUUCUUAAAAGUUUUUUUUUUUUUGUGAACCAUGGAUAGCUUUGGCCCCCCUAAUUUUUCAAUAUUUACUUAAUAGUAUGGUGCCAAUAUAACUCUCUCUCUCUCUUUUUCCUAAUUGGUAUACUCUUUUUAUGGGUGAAAAUAUAUUAAAAGCUUCUUGCUUAUAGAGUAUUUUCUAAUAUAUUUCUCUACUCUAAAAAUUUUAUUUGAUAUUUUUUUAAAAUUUUUAUUUAUCUUAGGUGAGCUUUUUUAUUUGACUAAAUCAAGAAUUGCACUAAAUUUAAUAGCCAUGUUAAUUUUAUUUACUAAAAAACUAAGAAAUUACUGUUAGAUUUAGCAAAAUUUCUAAAUUAUUUUUACUGUAAUAAUAUAAAUAAAAUAAUUAGAAGUUAAACAUAUGAAAAUAAAAAACAUAAAGUUCAUAUUUUUACAUUAUUUAUUUAAUUAAUAAUUUUUUAAUAAAAAAUUUUUAAAUAGAAAAAAUUUUGUUUAUUAUUUAUUACUAAAGUUUCUAUUUAAAUAUAUUUUGGCCCCCCCUCAAUAUUGAAUUCUAGUUUCGUCCCUGACUGGAAAUAGUAAGGUUUUGACCGGAAUAAAAUAUUCCGGUAAAAUAUUACUCCGUUUGGCAGGAUAGCAGGAAUAAUUUUCGUUAUGCCCGCUUAUCCCCGAACCAAACGGUGCCUUAGAUUAGAUAAUUCCAACACCCACUUCUGUAAGCUAACUCUUCUGUGGAUAAGCUUCUCCUUGAUCAGAAGAUCAACAUGAGUCGAGCUCAUAUCGAAUUUUGAUGAAAGCGAGAUACGAGUUGAACCGGAUUGUAAUUCAUACUACUAGGAAAACAGGAUUGCAUUAUCAUUAUCCAAGGGUGGAAUGCGCAGGAAAGGAAAACAAAUUCACCAUGUUUAUGUACAGUAGUAAAGCAUUCUCUACUGAAACUUCAUUAUCAUUUCUCAUUUGUCUCCUUCAAUUUACCAGUGUUUUUUUUUUUUUCCCCCAAUUUUUGGAUUGGCAUAAUUUCGUAGAACAGCAAACUGAUCCCCGGCUAUAUAUCGUCCAUGUCAUGUAACACUAAUGAUCGAUCAUUUCAUACUUCAAUUUGCUAAAGUGGAGAAAAAACACACAUCUAAUUAAAAGGCACAAAAACCAAAAGGGGAAAAGUAUAACCAUGCAUCCAACUCAAAAUAGCUCUGCGAAAACAAUAGACAAAAUUUGAGGCCUCACUUGGUCCGGAUAAUAUACGUACAAUAUACGUAUAGUAGUAUCUCUGAUCUAAGGGCAAAACACAAUCUGGUAAUUGGUGUUUCCAGGGCAAGCGAAAGUGGCGCUGUUAUCAUCGUAAGGAUAGCUGAAUGACUGAGGGCACUGGCUCUUGAAGUACUUGGAGUACUUCGUCGGGUUGCAGCUGCUCGGGGACGGGCAGCAGUACUCCGGCGUCCCGAAGAUCGUGCACGGGUCGCCGCACCCGCCGGGCACCUGCAGCUCUGCCGGGCACUGCGCAUUUACGUCGGCAGCGCAGCUCGGCCCCGACGUGCAGCCGUUCGACGUCGGCUUGAAGCUCAGCGGCACGUUGAACCCUGAAAACAAAGCGGUUUGUUCAUUCACAAAUUUGUACCGUAAAUUAAACACUGUUCUCUGAUAGUUUAAACUUAUAGAAUAAAAUCACCAUCCACCAGGGAGAUGUCAAAGUAGUCGAGGCCCCCAGGGUUGUUGAGAGAAUACUCGGUGAGAGUAUUGGGGCUCUGUCCGGAGCCGGUGCAGGCGAGGACGCCGCCGCAGUCGCCGGUCUGGCAGUGGCCAUUGCCGGUGGAGUUGAAGGUGCAUCCGGUGCGAGGCCAGACGCGGCCGCCGGUGGUGCCGUCAGGCACGUUGUAGGACCAGGACUGGCCCGGGUUGAGCUGGAUGCCGCCGCCGGGGGAGGCGGCGGCCCAGACGGUGUAGGAGCAAUUGUUGGCGACGUCGAAGGUGGAGGCGGCGGCGAGAGGGAGGAGGGCGAGGAGCAGGAGAGGGAGAGUGUUUUGUGCGGCCAUUUCUGGGAGCAAAAAGAUUUGUGUGUUGUUGUUGUUGUUGUUGUUGUUCCUUGUGGUGUUGUGCUGUGAGUAGGAAAGGGGGGAGUGGAAUUCACAAGAGGUUUCGGAGAGGUUGCGUAGGGUAAUUUAUGAUGACGUUUUGAGAUGAAGAGGAAAAUUCGAAGAUCACUAUGGCCGUGUGCGUAGGGAUGAUGUUUCAACUUAAUAUAUAUAUAAAGCAAAGCUUUUACUGGCUAAUCUAUUAUGAUCCAAUAGAUCUACAUUCUCCCGGUAAAAAUAAAAAAGUAAAUAAAAUACUUCUAUUCAAAUAACUAAUAAGCCGGUUUGAGAAAAAAAAAAAUUUUUUUUGAGAGAAAGAUGGCAUGCUAUUCUUUUUAUUUAUUUUAUUUAGGAAAUAAACUUAGCUAUAAAUAUGAAUUAACUAGGAUUCGAAUUUGGGUCUCGAGCACCAACCAACAAGCUCUUUUGUCACUUACGCUAGGAACGGUCGGUAAAAAAUAUAUUAAUACCAGUUCUGAUCCAGGUGGCAGUAAAGGGCGGAGGCGCGGACGCGGGCGCAGGCACGGGGCGCGAGCUGGCGCGGGCCGGCAAGCGGGCGGACGAGGGGCCGGCACGGACGUGAGCCGGCACGGACGUGAGCCGGCGCAGGCACUCGUGCGGGCUUGGGCGGGUUGGGUGAGCCCGGUGCGGGUGGGCCCAGCCCAUCUAUACCCGAGUCUAAAAUUAUACAGAGAGCUCUCAACUACAAAUUUAGGGUCAAUUAUACAGAGACCUCUCAACUAUAAAGUUACGACAUUAAAGUUACCGUCAAUUAUACAGAGAGCUCUCAACUAUAGCCGAGUCUAAAAUUGACUUUAGACUGCAUUAGUUUUUUUUUCUUUUUUUAAAAAAAUUUCUUAAAUUUUAUUUAGUUUAGAUUGCUAGUUUUAGGGGGGGGGAAGGAAAAAAAAAUCAACAAAACUAAAUAAAAUAAAAUAAUAUUGAAAAGUCUAUUUCAAAAUGGCCUAUAGUUGGAGGGUCUAGAUAUUUUAUAUACUAUACUUUAUAUACAACUAGUUAGAAAUUCGUGCUUUGCGACGAAAAAAAAAAAAAAAAAAUUACAAUAAAUAUACGCUAAUAAUUAUUAAAUAAUAAUAAUAAUAUAAUAAUUAUUUUAAAAAUAUUUUAUAUAUUAAAAAUUAUUAAAAUUAAAGCCACAAUAAAUAGUUCGCGUUACUUUGUAACAAUUUAAAACUGAUGGCGAACAAAAUAGUCUUUUCUUUCUUAGAAAAAAAGUAUUUUUUAGCAUAAAUGCAUCAAACACUUUUUUCCUUAUUUGCAAAUCAAUAAAGUAAUUUAGAAAAGGAAGCACAUAAAGAAUAGCGUGAGGAGAAGCGGAUACCGUGGUUUGUUCGAGACCAAACACGACCAAUCUUUCAGCGCGAUUCGACUUUCACGACCUCGCUUCCUCCCAUCAGCAAGCAAAAUCAUGGCGUAGGCGGGGUAAUGUGAUAGGAGCCGCGCUAGAAUUCUUGCUAUAUAUAUAUAUAUUUUUUUUUUGUGAGAGAGAGAUAGGCAGAUGCUUGAUGUUUGUAUAUUCAUUUAGAAAAAUACUUAGCUAAAAAUUGGAAUGAAUUAAGAUUCGAACUUAGAAUCUCGAGUAUCAACUAGAAUUUCUUACUGUAUUUGUGCAAAUUUGUGGGAUUUUGAAGAUUACAGAUGCAGAGAGAGAACCAUGGACCUGGAAGCGGCGGCCGAGCGGCGAUUAGAUCUGCAGGAGAGUGCUAACUCUAUCUAACAUAGGGAGAGAGAGAGAGAAGAGAGAGAGAGAGAGAGAGAGAGAAGAGGAGAAGUAUGGAGGAGGAGAAGUACGGGAAUAGUAGGAAAUUUGCUGAGGAAACCAUGGCUUCAGACAAAUUUAGGGGGAGAGAAGAAAAGGGGUGAGAAUAAGAGAGAGAGAGAGAGUAGAGCUAUGGGGGCGCACCUUCGAAUCCCGGACAGGUUUUGAAGCGUGUGACGGUUAAUCUUAUGUCAAAUAAAAAAAAAAAAAAAAUAUAUAUUAUAUUUAUAUAUAUAUAUAUAUUAUAUAUAUAUAUAUAGCGUAAAGCUAAUAUGCUAUCGAAAUAUAGAGAAUCUGGUGUGCUUUCGAUUUUUUAGCCCUUACAUCAUCCCCUUCAAUCAUUUUUUAAUUUUGGAUUAAUACUAUUAACCUGUGGUACACUCAACCUAGGGGGACUACUCAACCCGGGGGGACUGCAAUCAUCCCAACUAUAUAAUUUUUUAUCAAUGGUUAAAAAGUUGGAAGCAUCGUACUUUAUGCUUCCGAUAGCAUAGUAGCUUACACUAUAUAUUAUAUAUAUAGUAGGGCUAAAAUACUUGUAAAAGUAUCAUGGGGGUGAUACUUGUGUGUUUUAUAGCCUGUGAUAGAGAGAUUGUGAGGUUAAGAUGAUGGUGGUAUGUGGUGGCAGGUGGUGGUAGGUGUGGUAGGUAGAAUAGUGUUUAAUCCAAGAGGUAUUAAUAAUUCAAAAAAGUAGAUCCAAUGGCUUAAAACCUAAUAGCACCAUUGAGUGUACAUUGUAAAGUAUCAUAGCUCAACUCUAUUAUAUAAUAUAUAUAUAUAUAUAUAUAUAUAUAUAUAUAAUAAUAUAUAUAUAUUAUAUAUAUCCACUACUAUUGCUAUCAGUAGCACGGAGGCGCUUCCGUGCUACCAAGUUGUUUUCGAUGAUGCGGCUUCCAAAUCGACGAUCGGCUCCGUUAGACUUGAUCUACACUAUUGAAAGUAUUGGAAACUAAUUUCAAAUUUUUGGACAUCAUUUGACUAGUGAUCAAAAAACUCAAAAUUACAAUUUUAAUGGGCCGAUGUGGUGUGUUUGUGAGUUUAACGGUGUAAAACAAUCAAAUGCGAUGAAUAUUUUAUAGAAAAUUCUUUUCACUAUUUAGAGUAAGAUCAGUAUAUUUGAUCUUAAAUUUAAAUCUUUUAUCAUCAUUUUCAUGAGAUUUUUAUUUUUAGCCGUUCAAUUUAGACUAUUGUUUGAUAGGUAAAUGAUAUCGAAAUAUUAUGAAAUUUAGUUUCUAAAUACUUUCAAUAGUGUAAAUCAAGUUUAACGGAGCCCGAUCGUCAAUUUGGAAGCCGCAUCAUCGAAAAAACUUGGUAGCACGGAGUGCUCCGUGCUACCGAUAGUAUAGUAGCCUAGUUCUAUAUAUAUAUUAUAUAUAUAUAUAUAGAGAGAGAGAGAGAGAAUUUAGAGGCAAGAGAGAGAGAGAGUCCGGCUAUGGUGCUUGUAAAAGUACAUAACUAUUUGGUACUUGUAAGUUUUUUACCGUUAGAUCUACGUCUUUGAUUAUUUUCAACCGUAUAGAUUUACUAUUCACCAACUACCACUCAACCAUACGGGCCCACAUCAUCCUCACCGUAAUCCUUAAUCAAGGGCCGAAAACUUACAAGUACCAAUGAUUUUGGUACUUUUAAAAGCAUAGGAGUUUUAUUUAUUUUCUAAAAUUUUAAAUACCCUAAAUCAUAUUUAACGGAAUGGAUCGUCGAUUCAGAAGCAUCCAUAUCGAAAAACAAUAUGAUACGAGGGACUCAUAGCUCAUAAUAAUAGAAGUAGCCAGCUAUGCGACCUAAUAUAUAUAUAUAUAUAAUAAUUAUUAUAUAUAUAUAUAUAUAUAUAUAUUAGGCUGGGGCUCACUGUUAUAUUAUGAGUAUAGACCUCUUUGUACUCAUUAUUAUUUAAUAACCGUUGAUUUGAUGGGAUGUGUGGUUAGGAUGAUGGUGGUCCCCACUUAAAAUAAUAGUGGUCCCCUAGGGUUGAGUGGGUAGUUGGUUAAAUAGUAUGAUCUAACGGAUGAAAAUGAUUAAUGAAAUAAAUCUAAGGGCCGAAAACUUAUGAGUAUAAAGAAGCCAAUACUCAUAAAAGUAUAGUAGCCGGACUCUAUAUAUAUAUAUAUAUAUAUAUAUAUAUGGAGGUUGCUAAUAUAAAAAAUAUUUAAAUACCGUUCUUUAUCAAUUUAAAUUUUUAAAAUACAACGAUUAUUUCACAUGGCAUCAAAAUAGGAGGUUUUAAAUGCGAGUCAUAUCAGGCUCCUAAUAUUAUUAAUUUUUUUCAUUUAUUUCAAGUACACAUCCUAAAUUUAUAAACAGUCUCGAGCACCAUUUCCUAGGCAUACCAUAAUCCAAUGAGGAAAAAAAGCUUAAAUUUAGAACUUACACUCUAAUAAAUAGAAAGUACAGUUUCUUCUAGAAGCCGAACUAAUCAAGCAUUAGCAUACAUUUCCGAAAACAGACUUUAAUGGGAAGCUUCCCAAUGAGGCUUUAUUGGAGAGUUCUUAAUUUACUACCACAUGUUAGUAUAGGAAGGACACACUCAUAUAUUGCACAUAAGAGUUCAGUCACAGCGCUUAUGGAUUUCGAUCCGAUUCAACCUAUAUGAGCGUUAGGUCUAUUGUUGAGCCUCGGACACACUCAUAUAUUGCACAUAAGAGUUCAGCCACAGCGCUCAUGGAUUUCGAUCCGAUUCAACCUAUAUGAGCGUUAGGUCUAUUGUUGAGCCUUGCCAUUAGGUCUCUUAUGUACUGCACCUCCACUCAACUUAUUAUGCUCAUUCAACUCAACUUAUUAGUCUCCUGAAUUUAUUGUCACGGGGCAUGAUGUUGGACCUAUUUUAGCCCAAUAAUAAAUAGCUAACAAUUCCAAUUCAGAUUAUUUUGCUAAUGUUAAUUUUAGUGUAAUUGCAAGUCUCAUGUGAUGUACUUUCGUGCAGAGUGGUAGAUUUCAUCAAUCAAUCUUGUGUUCUUGUGCAUUACCUUGCAAUGAAAGUUACAUCUUUUAUGUAUCUGCCCUACGUAUAUAGUAGAUCGCUUGGCAUUUCAUGGAUGAAUCGAACCUCUUUGAUUGUGUUUUCUUUUAGGUGUCGUUUGGUUCGCAUUAUGAAAGAUUACUAGAAAUAAAAGAUAUCCGAAAAUCUUAUUCCUAUUCAUCUUAUUACUAAGAAUGUGGAAUUCCUGUGUUUGGUUCGCACGCUAAUAUUAAUUAGCCAUAUUAUUUAAUAUUACAAAAAAUAUACAAUUAAUUAAUUUAUUUAUUUAUUUAAUUUUAAAUAAUGUUACCAAAAGUUUAAACAUUUUUUUAAAAAAGAGAGAGAGAGUAUAAGUUAGAGAGAGAGAGCAUAAUUAAAAAAAUAGAAAGAAAAAUAUAUUCGAAAUGAGCAAUAAUAUUCUGUAAAAAGAGAUUAAAAAAGGAAAAAAAAUGAAAAAACAAAAUUGGGCGCCAAAAUUUGGAAUCAAUUUAUCAAUCAUUCUUUGCCGAGAAUUUAACAUGCCUUAAAAGUGAUAGAUCAAGCAAAUUACACCAUAUACUAUUGAAACAUGCCAAUUACUUUAUCAAACAAUACAUCAACCUAAACAGAAAAACUCGAAAAUGUUCAUUAGCUAGCGUGCACUGAUUUUCUAAAAAGGCCGACGAAAUGUUGCAGGAAUCGAGGUGUGUAGUGAAAUCGAUUACCCGCCGGAAUGGGAAACCGGUGAAGUUGUGAAUUGUCCAUCUCUGAAAGUAUGAACAAACUGUUGCGGCAGCGGAUGCUCAGCCUAUAAUUAGUUUAGGAAAGAAAAUUAAGCAGAAUCAGAAUAUAAUUUGUGUAGCAAAAAGAAAAUAAGUUGUCUUUGUUACUCAAAAUUACUAAAUAUUCAGUAUAAAUAGGAACAUAAAUGAAGGAUCAUUUAUGGCUUCUAAAUUUUGCUAAUAAACAGUACUGAAACUCUCUUACUUAUGACUGAAUGUGCGACUAAAUAUGGUACACCUCACAAAGCAUUCUCAAAUUUUGUUUUGUUUAUGUCCUGUUUUGUUCACUUAGAUUAAGAUCAACAAAAUAUCCGUAUCUCUGAGAAGAUUCUUAUGACAAACAACUUACCCAGUCACCAUCAGGGCCUGCACCAGAAACCAGAACAUUAACCUCACUUGAUUUAGCAAUUGUUAUAGAAGUCUCCAAUGAAUCUUUGCCCAGAUAAAGUUGGCAACCUGAUGUAUUGUCUAUUAAUAUUGUCGGCGCUGAGCCCUGAGAUUCAAGGGAGAAUAAACCCCAAAAUGGUAUGAUGAUAUCGGAGAUUUAAUCUAAAAUUAAUUGAAUACAAAUUGAGUGAGUGAAAUAAACAAACUUGUAUACCUCACAUUGCACCUCAACACUGUUGCAGUUCACAAUUUCACAAGCUGCAACUAUAUCCUGAGUUAAAAGAUCACACCACACUAAUUUGUCAUCACAAUACAUUAGAAUCUCAUCUAGCGGGAAAAUGUAAGCAAGAUUUUAUGCAUAAACACCAUAGUGAUCAUGCACUUACCUUAAAGAGGAUCCCCAUUUUAGUGCAUUUAUCUAUGGUUAUGUUGUUCACCUUUCCUGCAUAGAAUAAUAUGUGCAUGCAUAUACUCAAUUAGUUGUGGAAAAAAAUGAACUCUUCGGCGAAAUUUUAGCCACCAAGGAAUGGUAAUCAUAAAACGAAUAAAAUUACCCUUGACUUGCAAUACACUAUUUUUGCAUCCAUAAACAUAAACAGAUUGUUUUGCAUCACAAUCAUCAAUAACCAAGUUCUUUUCUCCAACCUGAUUCUCAACUGCCCAUCUGCCAAAGUACACAUAAUCUGGAUAGUUACACAAUUAUGUACAAAUAAUUUGAGCACAGUCUAAGAAGACAUAUUUUUCUUACUUGCGACCCAUUNUAGCUAAAAUUACCGACACUUUUAAAAAGUGUUGCUAUAUGUGGGGUCGCUAGGUAUAUAGUGACAGUUAAAGAGUGUCGCUAUAACCUAAAAGAGUGCUGCUAAUUUACAAACACUUAUUUAAGCAUUUAGCAACCGCCGAAACUCUAUCUCGUUGGCUCCGGUGGCGGAGGAGGACGACAGGAAAGGCUCUUCGUCUAGAAUUUUAGUAGAUUGAGAGAAGAAAGAAGAAAAGAUGGUAAUUAAUUUUUUUUUUUUUCUUUUUUAUUUGUAAUCGGGCCAAAUGGACUGUGUGUGGUAGGUUGAGUAGAGUAAUCUUUAAUUUUUGGUUGGAUUGGGCUUUAUAUUUAGGCAUUAGUAGAUAUUUUUUUAAGUUUUAGCAUAAAUGGGACACUUACUCAAAAGUGUCCCAAACAUGUGUCCCUAUAACCUAAUUCUGGUGUAGUGUAUAUAUAUAUAUAUAUAUAAACCAAAUUANUAGUUGAAGAGUCUGGUUGUUUUGAUGGCUUAUUUUUUGGGUAAUAUUGGUUCUGUCAAUGACCAUUUUAUUUACAAUAUAAUCACUGCUGCAAUAUUUUUCUUUUUAAUGAAUUGCUACUUUAAGUAAUGCUAUGGGAGAAGUGCUGUGCCAAGAUCCUCGAUCCUUCAGCCUUUUCAUGUAAGGCGAAGUUAAAAGAGCUUCUAUUUUUGAAGCACAGAAUCUUAUUUUUCAUUCAGCUUCUUAAUUACUAUAGUAGAAGCUCACAUAAUAAAUGAGAAAAUGUUGUGAUUAUAUUUUGUAUCCAACCAAAUGGAUUAAUUAGGCUUAGUAUUACUUUUAUUUCAAACUAUAAUCCCCAUGGAAGGAGCUUCCACAAAGUAGCCACCUUCUCUUAUACAAUACAAUUACUUUAUUCCACAAUAUGCUUUAUUCCACACACAUACAAUACGUAGGCAUAUGUGUGCAUGUGUGUAUAUAUAUAUAUAUAUAUAUAUAUAUAUAUAUAUAUAUCUAUGAGACAAUAUACGUAUAGUAGCUAGUAGCUAGUAUCUGUGAUCUGUGGGCAAAACACAACCUGGUAGUUGGUGUUUCCAGGGCAAGUGAAAGUGGUGCCGGCGUAAUCGUCAGGAUAGCUGAAUGCCUGAGGGCACUGGCCCUUGAAGAACUUGGAGUACCCCGUCGGGUUGCAGCUGCUCCCGGACGGGCAGCAGUACUCCGGCGUCCCGAAGAUCGUGCACGGGUCGUCGCACCCGCCGGGCACCCGCAGCGCCGCCGGGCAGCUCGCAUUUAUGUCGGCGGCGCAGCUCGGCCCCGACGUGCAGCCGUUCGACGUCGGCUUGAAGCUCAACGGCACGUUGAACCCUGAAAACAAAGCGGCCGGUUACGUUCAUUCACAAAUUUGUACUGUAAAUUAAUUGAAUAAUGUUUUCUGAUAGCGUAAGCUUAUAGAAUGAAAAUACCAGCCACGAGGGAGAUGUCAAAGUAGUCGAGGCCCCCAGACUGGUUGAGAGCAUACUCGGCGAGAGUAUUGGGGUUCUGUCCGUAGCCGGUGCAGGCGAGGACGCCGCCGCAGUCGCCGGUCUGGCAGUGGCCGUUGCCGUUGGAAUCGAAGGAGCAGCCGGUGCGAGCCCAGACGCGGCCGCCGGUGGUGCCGUCAGCCACGUUGAAGGUCCAGGACUGACCUGGGUUGAGCUGGGCGCCGCCGCCGGGGGAGGCGGCGCCCCAGACGGUGUAGGAGCAACGGUUGACGACGUUGAAGGUCGAGGCGGCGGCGAGAGGGACGAGGGCGAGGAGCAGGAGAGGGAGAGUGGUUUGUGUGGCCAUUUUUGAGGAGAAAAUGGAUUUAGAGUGUUGUUGUUGUUGUUGUUGUUAAGUGUGGUGUUGUGUGUAGGAAAGGAGGGGGGGAAGAGGGAGUGCAAUUUAUAGAGGUUUCGGAGAGGUCGCAUGGGGGAAGUUGUGCGGACGUUUUGAGAUUAAGAGGAAAAUUCAAAUAUUACGUACUAUGAACAAUGUGGCUAGUUAAUUGGCCGCGUAUGUAGGGAUGUUGAUGUUUCGACUUAUGCGUAACGCUUGUAUUCUCUUCUCACCAAGAAAAAAUAUAUGUUUAAGUCUAACAGGGAGAGAAUAUAUUUUACUCUCUAGAUACCAAAUAAAUAUUCCCAAGAGAUAAAAAAUUUUAUUAGAUUAUUGUGUCAAAAAAAAAAAAUCUUGACUAAAUGCACCUUCAUAUUAUUACUUUUUUUUUAUUCCUUCUUAAGAUAGUUAAGUGUAUUAUUUUUUCUUUUCAUUAAUUGCACUAUGUGAAGGCGAGUUCCAAGUUUCUUUCUCUAAAGUCCAGAUGGAGCAUUAAAUGCGUCUGUUGCCCCUCUUCCUCGGGAGUCGGGAGCCACGCCAUCCUUCGCAUCCCCGGCCCCUGCUGUCCUCGCACCCCCUGAUGGAAAAACUUCCUCGGGCCCCACUUUUGUACUCGGACUGGAGCUCAACCAGUUGUGUACUUGUGUUGGGACCUCUCUAUUCUCCGAUGCGGACCGGGCCCCUCACCGAGCCCAACUACGCUCCGGCUCCAUCUUCUCUUUCCCUCCCGGUUCCGACCCAGUUGGCCAUUCGGCUCAGCUCCCGGCCCAUCGGGGCUGCGUUAUGGGCUACCCUACUUCGCAGUCCAGCGCAGGCCAUGGGUUGCGCUAGUAUUACACGCUGCCUAUGCUGUUUCUUUGAAAAAAUUUUAAAAUGCAACGGUAUAUUGAUGACGUGACGUAACAAAUCAAUCAAAAAAAUUCUUUUAGAAAUAUAUGUCCCAUCGUGAUUAUAAAAAAUAUUUUUAUUGUAUUUUUGUUUGAAAAGAAAAAAGGUGAUUGAUUUGUUAUUGAUGACGUGGUGCAAGUGUGAUAGUUUAGAAUUUCUCGUUUCUUUGCGCCAGUCUCGAUUGGAGCGAUCGCCACGUCGCCGACGCCUCUCCCGCUCCCGCUUCUCUGACGGAGUCUCCUUCCAUUAACAAGCACCCUCCAUCCGACCUCUCCAUUAAAGAAGUCGCGACCGCUCCCAGUGUCAGCAGGCGAAAGUAAUAUAAUCGGGCGAGACGACGACUUAUAAACAAAAUAAAAUGACAAAAUUGGUGCAAUUAAAGAAUCAGGUGAUUCAUCUACCGUACCGUCUUUAUGAGGGCAAGCAAAUGAAUGUAGAAAGCUUUUUAAAAACACUUCAUUGGAAAGCCUUCAAUUUAUUGUCUCAUGCAAAAAUAUAAUAUUUUUUAAAAAAUUAUAAGUUAUAUGAAUUUCUGAACGAGAAAUCUCGACCGGUUGCAUAAAAAUUAUAAGUUAUAUAUAUAAAUUUCUGACGAAUCAAUAACAUCGCUUUGGACCGACCGUUCUUAGAGCAAGUGGCAAAUGGCUCGGUGGUUGGUAUUUGAAAUUCCAAAUUCGAAUUUUAAUUGAUUCACAUUUCCAGCUAAAUUUAUUUCUAUAUAAAAUAAAUGAAGCGUGUAUUGUGCUAUCUAUCUCUUAAAAAAAAAAAUAAAAUAAAAAACAUCGCUUUGGCUUUAUCAUUGAAAAACCGAAGUUCAUAAAAGUAACGGCUGACCCACACUGUUUUCUCUGACUCCCAUAAAUAAAGCAAACCUAUCAAUUGCUAGGUCAACGUUGACCCAGGAAAAACGUAGCCGUUGUAAAAGUUGAUUUUAAAAGAUGGCGGGAACGGCCUGUGGAGUUAUAUAAACCAAAUUAUUUGAAGAGUCUGGUUGUUUUGAUGGCUUAUUUUUUGGAUUUUGGUUCUGUGGAACAUUCAAUGAACAUUUAUUACAAUUUAAAUCACUACUACAAUUUUUUUUUUUCCCUUUCAAUUUAAACAACCAACUUUGUCUCUCUAUCUCUCUCAAAAAAAAAUUUUUUGUCUCUCUAUAGUCAACCGAAAAGUCAAAUGUGAAAAAAAUAUUUAUAGAGUGUUCUAUUAUUUGAUUAAUUGUUCUUUUAAGUAGUGCUACGGGAGGAGCCCGUAUUUUUAAGUUAAAAAAGCUUUUACUUUAUUUAGAGCAUGAAAUUUUAUUUUUUAUUCAGUUUUUUGUUGCAGCAGCCCACAUAAUAAAUGAGAAAAUGUUGUAACUAUGUAUAUUUCCUAUCCAACCAAAUGAAUCAGGCGUAUUACUUUUAUUUCAAACUAAACAAUCCCCAUGGAAGGAGCUUCUACAGAGUAGCCACCUUCUCUUACACAAUUACUUUAUUCCACAAUGCUUUAUUCAAGACGCAUACAAUACGUAGGCAUACGUCCAUGUAUAGAUACCGCUAUACGUAUAGUAGUAUAUAACUGUGAUCUAAGGGCAAAACACAACCUGGUAGUUGGUGUUUCCAGGGCAAGUGAAAGUGGUGCCGUCGUAAUCGUCAGGAUAGCUGAAAGCCUGAGGGCACUGGCCCUUGAAGUACUCGGAGUACUGCGUCGGGUUGCAGCUGCUCCCGGACGGGCAGCAGUACUCCGGCGCCCCGAAGAUCGUGCACGGGUCAUCGCACCCGCCGGGCACCUGCAGCGGCGCCGGGCAGUUCGCAUUUACGUUGGCGGCGCAGCUCGGCCCCGACGUGCAACCAUUCGACGUCGGCGUGAAGCUCAGCGGCACGUUGAACCCUGAUAACAAAGCGGUUCGUUCAUUCACAAAUUUGUACCGUAAAUUAAAUACUGUUUAAUUCUAAUAGUUUAAGCUUAUAGAAUAAAAGUACCAGCCACGAGGGAGAUGUCAAAGUAGUCGAGGCCCCCAGACUGGUCGAGAGAAUACUCGGCGAGAGUAUUGGGGUUCUGUCCGUAGCCGGUGCAGGCGAGGACGCCGCCGCAGUCGCCGGUCUGGCAGUUGCCGUUGCCGUUGGAGUCGAAGGAGCAGCCGGUGCGAGCCCAGACGCGGCCACCGGUGGUGCCGUCAGCCACGUUGAAGGUCCAGGACUGGCCCUGGUCGAGCUGGAUGCCGCCGCCGGGGGAGGCGGCGGCCCAGACGGUGUAGGAGCAUUGGUUGAUGACGUUGAAGGUCGAGGCGGCGGCGAGAGGGAGGAGGGCGAGGAGCAGGAGAGGGAGAGUGUUUUGUGUGGCCAUUUCUGGGGAGAAAAUGGAUUCAAAGUGUUGUUGUUGUUGUUGUUGUUGUUGUGGGUUGGGAGGAAGGGGGAGGGAGUGCAAUUUAUAGAUGUUUUGGCGAUGUUGCAUGGGGGAAUUUAUGCUUACGUUUUGAGAUGAAGAGGAAAAUUCAAAGAUUGCUGCGACCAAAGUGACUAAUUGGCCGUGAAUGUUGGGAUGUUGAUGUUUGGACGUAUUGCAUAACGCUUUUAUUCUCUCAGAAAAUCUCUCUCUCUCUCUCUCUCUCUCUCUCUCUCUCUAUAUAUAUAUAUAUAUAUAAUUUUAAAAGGGAGAUAAUAUACUUUACUCUCUAAAUACCAAAAAAAUAUACACUUAAUUCUUUUCAAAAGAUCAAAAAAAUGUUGAAAAAAAUAGUGAUAUGACUAAAUACGCCUUCAUAUUAUUAUCACAAUUAUGUUUCCUCUUAAGAAAGUUAAGUGCAUACUUCUUUUUUAUUUAAGAGGUUAAAUAUUACCGAUGUAAGUUUUCGGAAGAAUCAAAUGCACGCUAUUUUUAUUCAAGGAGUUUAGUGCAAUAAUAUGUGAAAUGUUGAACAGGAUCAAGUAUAGUUUAGCCCAUACAUAAUUGCGUUAUGCUUCCUACAUAGAGUUGGUUGUUACCUGAUUUUAGGGUUCACUUGACCUAUGUAGAGCUGGAGGAGAAAUUCUACUAUAUAUUUUCUUUAAAGGGGUAAUUAAAAUCUAUGCAUCUGUCGUUGGGUGUAAUUAGUGGAAGUAAUGUUGUGCUCACUUUCCAAAUUGCGGAGUAGAAUUAGAUGGUAAAAGCUACAUCAUUAGCGGAUCGACACAAACCACUGCACUUAGGGAUUGUUUAAUUGUAUAUAAUUGCAAUUAUAUGGCAUCGAUAGAGUUGAGAAAAGAAAAAAAAUGAACGGGCGAAAAAGGAAAAAGGAGGGAACUCAACAGCAACAUGGGGGCCGUAGAAAAAACAAGAGAAGGAAGAGAAAGUAGGUGGAGAAGGAGAGGGAGAAAGCGAGGAUGGAGUAAGACAAAUCGGAACGUAAGGAGCAAAAGGAACAAAUAAAAAAAAAGGAGAGAGAAAAAAAAAAAAAAGGUAUUUGGUCAGUUUACUAAAAAUUUGGAUUGAAUCUAUAAAAUUCAAAAUAAUGGUUUACUUUUGAAAAAAUUCAAAACUAGUAAUUUUUUUAUGCAAAUUGGUUUAAAUAGAAAGUUCUUUUUGACAACUCCAAUAGAAUGUAUUGAUUACCUUUUGUGUUCGAAUUGCUGGAAAAGUUAUGUUAAUAACUAAGGUACCCAAGCAUUAAUCUAGGAUUGUAUUUUGAAUCAAAUUUUAAUGAGAAGCUCCCCAACAAAAUAUUGUUGGAGAGUGCUUGAUUCACUGCUACGUGUUAGUUUUAACUCUAUUUAAAAAUUUAUUAGGUAACUUUUAAAAAAAUAUAUAAUUUUUUGAGCAAUGAUAAAACUGACACAUUAUAGUAGAUCGGAACUCAUCAAAGAGACAUCGGUGUAGAGUUUUCUAAUGAAGGUUUUUCUAUUUUCAAAAAUAUUUUAUCAGUAAAAUUGUUCAAGAAAUAAAGAUAGCUUUGUCAUUAAAAAUCGAAUACUGUCACUUCUAUUAUGUCGCUUCUAGUAAGAGUAGAAGUUUCAAACUAAAAUCUAUGUAUUUUUUUGGACCCAUAAUAUCUCAUUUUGCUUUUCCACUAGGUCAAAACUUUUUUACUUUUUGUCUGCUAAACCAUCUAGGGUUUUGUUUGAACAAGUAAGCGUUUAAAUGACAACCGCGACAAUCAAUCAAUUAUAUCGUAAAGAGUCAUGAUCAUUUGAGCUGGCAUUUAAUUAUAAAAUUAGAUUAUAACACUUAUCUUUUAAAAGAUAGUUUAAAGACCUUGAGCAACAUAAGAGAGUAAACCUCAAUUAUUCAAUCUUUUUUCUUUUUUUUUUUUCCCUAGAACUGCAUACUUUUCCACAGGCAUUUAAAUGCUUAUUAAUUUCUAUCUUUUUUGUACCCUGAAAACGAAAAGGACAUAAUACACUUGCCUAACACUCAAUCAAUAUUCCACAAAAAUAAUCUUCCAAAAGUAUAAUGGAAAACUCCAUGACUGGCAACAUUUUAUAAAAAAAUUUUCCACAGUUCUUAAAUUAUGCAAUAAGUGAGCCUACUUCCUAUGGCACCCUUAGAAUUUACAAUAGUUUUAUAUAUAAAGUAUAUAUAAUAUGACUAAAUCUCUCAAUCCGGCUAGAAUAUAUUUGACGAUGGUUUGAUCUAAAAAAUUAAGAAAAUUAAGUAUGAUAGAGUUAGAAUAGUUUUAGAAUAAACGACUCCUUGGCCUUGGAGAGCAAAGCGUCACACUUCCCAUGUUUAUGCAGUUAAUUAAUCCAAGUCACGUGAUUUAACUUAAAAUGGAACUUGGAAACUUCCUUAUCUUACUUGACAAGUUCCAGAAUCCUAAUUUCCAAGCACAUUUUCCACCACGAUUCUUAAAGACCAAUCAAUAAUUUCUCAAAUUUUUGGUACAUAUAUCAUUUGCCGUCACCUUUGACCGGCAUUUUCCAUCACCGAAUUUGACCUAAAAUAAGUCUAAGAAAUUUCCAACUAUAUCUGAAGUUCCAUUGUCAAAACAGAAGAGAAACAUAAUAAUUUUCCAGGCAUAUUAGAUUUUCAAGAAUAUUCUCAUCACUUUCUUAAUAUUCUUCGUGUUAAAUAUAAAAAAAUAUAAACAUAGUUCUCUCACAGUUUAAGAUUUUAAAAUACAACGGUUGUUUUACAUAGUAUUAAAAAAGUAUUAAAACAGGAGAUUCUGAGUCAAUCACAUCCGCUCUUAGCAUUAUAUUUUUUCUCAUGUCCUGAGUUCGAGUCACGUUAUAGCCUUGCAAAAGUUUCGAGCCCAGACGUUAUUGAGAGUGCUAAAUUAAAACAUAUAUGAAUAUCGUUCUCUCCAUAGUUUAAACUUUUAGGUAUCGUUUGGUUCGGUGAUAAGCAAAAAGUGGCUAUUCAGAAUAGGUAUAAAAUGAGUAUAAGCGGAUUGGAUCAAUUUUGGCGUUUGGAUGAAAUUGAGUUACUCCUAGGGAUAAAAAAAUAGCGUUUGUUAGGUAAGAUAGAAUAAGAAAGAUAGUAAAUUUUAAAAUAAAAAAUAAUGAUAUUACCUUUUAUUAUAUUUGAAUUUAAUUUUUUGAUUAUAUUUUUAAAUUUACAAUUUUAACUUUGAAAUUUUAAAAUUUGAAAUUAAAAUUUAAAAUUGAAAAUCUCAAUUUUAAAUUAAAUUUCAAACUUUAAUUUAAGAUCAAAUUUAAAUUUGAAAAAUAUAAAAUAUCAAAUUUAAAUUUGAAAAAUUUAAAAUAUCAAUUUUAAUUUGAAAAAUUUAAAAUAUCAAAUUUAAAUUUAAAAUUAAAAAUAUAAUUAAGUAAUUAUAAAACUUUAAUUUUGAUAUUACAAAAUUUAAAUUUAAAAUUUUAAAAUAUUAAAAUUUUAAAAAUUGGGUUGGGAAGCAAUAAUAAAAACUAUUUAUUAUAAUAAAUUUAUAAAUUUUUUAAAAAUUCUACUUAAACUUAAAUUUAAUAAAAAGAAUUUAUUAUAAUAUUUAAAAAUAAUUUAUUAUAAAAUUUAUUAUAAAAUUUAAAUAUAAAUAAUAUGUAUUAAUAUAGUGUAAUUAAUAAAUUUAUAAUAAAAAUAAUGAAUUAUAAUAUAUAAUAUAGUAUAUUUAUAUAAUUUAGUUUUAAUUCAAUUUAUAAUUUUUAAUUAAGUUUGAAAUUAAGCAUUGAAAUAGUACUAUUCCACCAAAAUAGUGGAAUAGCAAAUCUCUUACUAAUCCGGGAUAACCGGAAACAGGGACGAAGCUAUAUGGAGGCCCAAGGUGGCCAUGGCCUCCCUCAACUUUUCAAUAUCUAUUAACCUAUAUGAAUCCUCAAUGAUUUUGCCACGUGGCAAGUUUUCCUCCACCCUCAGUAACUUUUUUUUUUGAAUUAAUUUUUACUCAUGGCUUUUCCCCUCCCCUCCUCUCUAUUCAAUGAUAUAUAAUCAAUGUGCUUUCCUCUUCAAUAUAAGUUCUCUCUUUUCCCUCAAACAAUUCCUAAUAUGCAAAAUUAAAAGAGGAGAGGUUAGUUUUGAUUUCAUAAUUGAUGUGACAGUUCUCAAAAGGGUGCAAAAUCAUGCAAACUUUUAUGAGAUUUUCAUCGCAAUCGUCGUCAUGAUCGCAACAUUAUCAUCUCUAUCUUCAUACGACCUUUGUAGAUUUUUUCUUUAAAUGGUAAUUCUAGGCAGUUAUCAAUUUUCAAUGGUUAUAUUAGUUAGUUUAAUUCAUACAUUUACCUACCCAAAAAAUAAAACACACUUGAAUUUUUAUUUUCCAAACUCCUUUCUUCGCCCUCUUCAAUAUUUUUUAUUUUUUCUUCUAUUAUUUAUCAGCCGCACCGCGCGGGUUACUACACUAGUUUGUUUAAUGGUUCUUCAAAGUUUUUUUUUUGUGAACCAUGGAUAGCUUUGGCCCCCCUAAUUUUUCAAUAUUUACUUAACAGUGUGGUGCCAAUAUAACUCUCUCUCUCUCUUUCUCCUAAUUGGUAUACUCUUUUUAUGGGUGAAAAUAUAUUAAAAGUUUCUUGCUUAUAGAGUAUUUUAUAAUAUAUUUCUCUACUCUAAAAAUUUUAUUUAAUAUUUUUUUUAACUUUUAUUUAUCUUAGGUGAGCUUUUUUAUUUGACUAAAUCAAAAAUUGCUUAAUAGCUAUGUUAAUUUUAUUUACUAAAAAACUAAGAAAUUACUGUUAGAUUUAGUAAAAUUUCUAAAUUAUUUUAAUAUAAUAAUAUAAAUAAAAUAAUUAGAAGUUAAACAUAUGAAAAUAAAAAACAUAAAGUUCAUAUUUUUACAUUAUUUAUUUCAUUAAUAAUUUUUUAAUAAAAAAUUUUUUAUUAGAAAAUAUUUUGUUUAUUAUUUAUUACUAAAGUUUCUAUUUAAAUAUAUUUUGGCCCCCCCUCAAGAUUGAAUUCUAGUUUCGUCCCUGACCGGAAAUAGUAAGGUUUUGACCGGGAUAAAAUAUUUCCGUAAAACAUUACUCCACUUGGCGGAAUAAUAGGAAUAACUUUCGUUAUCCCCGCUUAUUCCCCGAACCAAAUGGGGCCUUAGAUUAGAUAAUUCCAACACCUACUUCGGUAAGUUACCUCUUCUGUGGAUAAGCUUCUCCUCGAUCAGAAGAUCAACACGAGUCGAUCUCAUAUCGAAUUUUGAUGAAAGCGAGAUACGAGUUGAACCGGAUUGUAAUUCAAACUACUAGGAAAACAGGAUUGCAUUAUCAUUAUCCAAGGGUGGAAUGCGCAGGAAAGGAAAACAAAUUCACCAUGUUUAUGUACAGUAGUAGUAAAGCAUUCUCUACUGAAACUUCAUUAUCAUUUCUCAUUUGUCUCCUUCAAUUUACCAGUGUUUUUUUUUUUUUCCCCCAAUUUUUGGAUUGGCAUAAUUUCGUAGAACAGCAAACUGAUCCCCGGCUAUAUAUCGUCCAUGUCAUGUAACACUAAUGAUCGAUCAUUUCAUACUUCAAUUUGCUAAAGUGGAGAAAAAACACACAUCUAAUUAAAAGGCACAAAAACCAAAAGGGGAAAAGUAUAACCAUGCAUCCAACUCAAAAUAGCUCUGCGAAAACAAUAGACAAAAUUUGAGGCCUCACUUGGUCCGGAUAAUAUACGUACAAUAUACGUAUAGUAGUAUCUCUGAUCUAAGGGCAAAACACAAUCUGGUAAUUGGUGUUUCCAGGGCAAGCGAAAGUGGCGCUGUUAUCAUCGUAAGGAUAGCUGAAUGACUGAGGGCACUGGCUCUUGAAGUACUUGGAGUACUUCGUCGGGUUGCAGCUGCUCGGGGACGGGCAGCAGUACUCCGGCGUCCCGAAGAUCGUGCACGGGUCGCCGCACCCCCCGGGCACCUGCAGCUCUGCCGGGCACUGCGCAUUUACGUCGGCAGCGCAGCUCGGCCCCGACGUGCAGCCGUUCGACGUCGGCUUGAAGCUCAGCGGCACGUUGAACCCUGAAAACAAAGCGGUUUGUUCAUUCACAAAUUUGUACCGUAAAUUAAACACUGUUCUCUGAUAGUUUAAACUUAUAGAAUAAAAUCACCAUCCACGAGGGAGAUGUCAAAGUAGUCGAGGCCCCCAGGGUUGUUGAGAGAAUACUCGGUGAGAGUAUUGGGGCUCUGUCCGGAGCCGGUGCAGGCGAGGACGCCGCCGCAGUCGCCGGUCUGGCAGUGGCCAUUGCCGGUGGAGUUGAAGGUGCAUCCGGUGCGAGGCCAGACGCGGCCGCCGGUGGUGCCGUCAGGCACGUUGUAGGACCAGGACUGGCCCGGGUUGAGCUGGAUCCCGCCGCCGGGGGAGGCGGCGGCCCAGACGGUGUAGGAGCAAUUGUUGGCGACGUCGAAGGUGGAGGCGGCGGCGAGAGGGAGGAGGGCGAGGAGCAGGAGAGGGAGAGUGUUUUGUGCGGCCAUUUCUGGGAGCAAAAAGAUUUGUGUGUUGUUGUUGUUGUUGUUGUUGUUGUCGUUGUUCCUUGUGGGGGUGUUGUGCUGUGAGUAGGAAAGGGGCCGGGGGAGUGGAAUUCAUAAGAGGUUUCGGAGAGGUUGCGUAGGGUAAUUUGUGAUGACGUUUUGAGAUGAAGAGGAAAUUUCGAUGAUCACUAUGGCCGUGUGCGUAGGGUAGGGAUGACGUUUCAACUUAUAUAUAUAUAUAAAGCAAUGCUUUUUUGACCGGCUAAUCUAUUGUAAUAGAAUAGAUCUACAUUCUUUCGGUAAAAAUAAAAAAUAAAAUAAAAUACUUCUAUGCAAAUAACUUAUAAGCUGGUUUGAGAAAAGUAAAUUUUAAAACCGGCUAUAUAUAAAUAUAUGAAUCCCAGUUCGGGUUCAGGUUGCAGCGAGGGGCGGAGGCGCGGCGAGCCUGGUGCGGGUGGGGCCCAGCUGGAGGAGAGGAAGGAAGAAUUUUUUUUAUUUUUCCUUCUCUCUCUUUAUUUUUUUUUUUUCUAUUUAGUAUAUUUGUAUUAAAUAUAAAUUUUAUUAAUUUUAUACUAUUAACUAUUUAUAGAGAGAGAGAGAGAGUAGAGUAGAGUAGAGUAGAGUAGAAGCAUCGAGGGGCAUAGUAUGGACAAGUAUGGGGAAUAGAGGAAAAUUUGGCUGAGGGACCCAUGGCUACAAAUUUAGGGGAAGAGAGAGAGAGAGAGAGAGAGAUGGAGAGAUAGAGGAGGGAAGGAGAAUAAGAAAGAGAGAGCUAUGAGGGGCCCAACUCCGAAAUCAUGAAAAAGCUUCUUGAAGCGGAAAAAUUCCAGAAUGCAACGGGUAUAUUAGUGACGUGGCGUAAUAAAUCAAUCAAAUUAAUUCUUUUAAGAAUAUAUGUCCCAUCAUGAUUGUAAAAAAGUAUUUUUAUUGUACUUUUGUUUGAAAAGAAGGAAUGUGAUUGGCUUGUUAUUGAUCACGUGGUGUAAGUGUGACAGUAUAGAAUCCCUCCUUGAAGCGGUUGAGGUUCAUCCUUUAAUGUCAAACAAAAAAUAAAUUACCUUUUUAAUUAUUUUUUUUGAAACACACACACACACACACACACACACACACACACACACACACAUAUAUANAUAUAUAUAUAUAUUACUUUACAUUAUUUCUCAAAAAACUUGCCACAUAGCAACACAAGCUUCAAUGUUGUUGGGUGUGAGCUCCACCGGUUCUUUUUUUUUAGUUGAACUGAACCGAAUUGUCGAGUAUGAGUCCCAUCCUAAACCGGCUAAAGUCCUCCAAAUUAUUUCACCUUUUUUUGCUUGAACCAAAUAUGGUUGAGUGAGGUCUCUACACUAAACCGGUUCAUGUUUCCUAUUUUUUGUUUGCCUAAACCAAACCGGUGCCCUCUUUCUUUGCUUGAACCAAUCUGCUUCAUUAGACCGAACCAGACUAAUUGAUUCAUGUCAUCCAUUAUUCGGCCAACUUGCAUUACAUCUAUUAUCUAUUAUCUAUUAUCUAUUAUCUAUUAAUUUAUAUUAUUUCUCAAAAAACUUGCCACAUGGCAACACAAGUUUCAAUGUUGUUGGGUGUGGGCUCCACCGGUUCUUUUUUUUUAGUUGAACCGAACCGAAUUGUCGAGUAUGAGUCCCAUCCUAAACCGGCUCAAGUCUUCCAAAUUAUUUCACCUUUUUUUGCUUGAACCAAAUAUGGUUGAGUAAGGCCUCUACACUAAACCGGCUCAUAUUUUCUGUUUUUUGUUUGCCUGAACCAAACCGGUGCCCUCUUUCUUUGCUUGAACCAGUCUACUUUAUUAGACCGAACCAGACCAAUUGAUUCAUGUCAUCCAUUAUUCGGCCAACUUGCAUUACAUCUAUUAUCUAUUAUCUAUUAUCUAUCUAUUACUUUAUAUUAUUUCUCAAAACACUUGCCACAUGGCAACACAAGCUUCAAUGUUGUUGGGUGUGGGCUCCACCGGUUCUUUUUCUUUAGUUGAACCGAACCAAAUUGUCGAGUAUGAGUCCCAUCCUAAACCGGCUCAAGUCCUCCAAAUAUUCACCUUUUUUUGCUUGAACCAAAUAUGGUUGAGUGAGGCCUCUACACUAAACUGGCUCAUGUUUCCUUUUUUUUGUUUGCCUGAACCAAACCGGUGCCCUCUUUCUUUGUUUGAACCAGUCUGCUUUAUUAAAUCGAACCAGACCAAUUGAUUCAUAUCAUUCAUUAUUCGGCCAACUUGUAUUACAUGUUAAAUAAUUAUAAUAACUCGAAAAAAAAAACUUCAAUUAACAAUCAUAUAUAUAUUAUUUUAUUUAUUUAUUUAUUUAUUUAUAUAUUAUUUCUUCUAAAGUUGCCACAUGGCAACACAAGCUUCAAUGUUGUUGGGUGUGGGCUCCACCGGUUCUUUUCCUUUAGUUGAAUCGAACCGAAUUGUCGAGUAUGAGUGCCAUCCUGAACUGGCUCAAGUCCUCCAAAUAAUUUCACCUUUUUUUGCUUGAACUAUGGAUGGUUGAGGGCUGCCUCUACAAUCAGCCAGCUCUUGCUUCUUUUUUUUUGUCUGCAUCAAACCAGCCGCUACCCUCUUUCUUUGCUUGAACCAGUCUGCUUUACUAGACCAAACCAGACCAAUUGAUUCAUAUCAUUCAUUAUUCGGCCAACUUGCAUUACAUGUUAAAUAAUUAUAAUAAUUCGAAAAAAGAACUUCAAUUAUCAAUCAUAUAUAUAUAUUAUUUUAUUUAUUUAUUUAUACAUUAUUUUUUCUAAAGUUGCCACAUGGCAACUUUUUCUUCAUUUUUGAGUGUGUGCUCCANNNNNNNNNNNNNNNNNNNNNNNNNAUAUAUAUAUAUAGAGAGAGAGAGAGAGAGAGAGAGAGAGAGAGAGAGCGCCAAGCAUAAUACUUUCGAAAAUAUAAAGAAGUUGAUACUUUCAAGUUUUUAACCCUUUCAUCAAUUUUUUUAAUUAUUUAUAAUUUUUGAAUUAAUAUUAUACUCACAUAAGGACUACUAAAUUUUAUGGGAAUCUCUCAAACCUAGAAGGGAUCACUAUUAUCUCAAUCGUAUAGUUGUUGAUCUAAGGACUAAAAAAUUAAAAGCUCCAACUUUUAUAUACUUCUGAAAGUAUAAUAACUCCACUCUCUCUCUCUCUCUCUCUCUCUCUCUCUCUAUAUAUAUAUAUAUAUAUGACACAACAAAUGAAGGCAUAUGUUUUUUAUGUCGCACUUGCACCACAUCACUCAUAUCACAAGCCAAUUAAAUCUUUUCUUCCCAAGGAAAAAUAUAAUAAUUUUUUUUAAAAAAAAAUUGUGGUAGAAUGGGCGAAUCCUAGGGACAUAAUUUGAUUGAUUCCAAACAUAGAUAACAUGGUGCAAUUGCAACAUCCUAAACUUUUUCUUAGGAGCGUAAUUUGAUUAGUUGGGAACACAAUAAUGUGGUGCUAUUGCCACAUUUCAGAUAUUUUCCUCAGAAAAAAGUUGCAACUAAAAAAAUGAUUCUAACAGGACUCGGAAUUAGAAUUUCCUAUUGUCAUUAUUCGAUAGCUUAAGCUACUAAAGAACUAUAUAUGUUUUUAACACUAAGUUCCAUUGCUACACUCUUAUAAGUAUGAUCGCCUCCGUAAAUAUAAGUCAUUUUCGAUGAUAGAGUUUUCGAAUCAACGCUCCGUAUCGUUAAAUAUUAUCUAAAUCAUUUAAAACUUUUAAAAACUAAAUUUCAUAAUUCUUCGAUAUUAUUUACCUUACAAUCAAAAGAUAUAAAAGUUGACAAUUUUUAAUAGCCAGCAUAGAAUAGUUGCUAGUUUAACGAUAUAAAAGAAUCAAAAUCGAUUGAAUUUUUGAUAGAAAAUUUUAUUCACUAUCUAGAUAAAGAAGAAUAAAUCCAAUCUUAAAUAAAAGAAUCCGAUUUUUUAAUUUUAGGAGGUCGUUUGAUUUCGACCGUGUAUUUUAUACCCACCUGAUAGAUUUUAUUAUAAUUUUAAAAAGAGUAAUGCUUCUAUAUUUUUUUUUUUCGUUACCGUUCAUUCACGCAUGUUCAAUGGUUCAGAUUUAAUUUUUUUUAAAUUGUGACCUGCAAUAGCAGAUCACUUUGAGAGAGGUACUGGUUACCAGGUAACUCAAAAAAUAGUAUUUUUGUCUUUUAAUACAUAGGCAAUUUCGUCAUUUUAUCUCUACUAUAUUUUCAAAAAAUUUUUAUUUUCUCUUUGUUUCCUUUUUUAGUAACUAAAUUAGAAAAAUUCUUAAAUUUUUUAAACAUAUUAAAUAUGUUGAAUUUAAAUAUUUGCCCACAUUUAAUUUUUUAAAAUUAGUAUACAAAAUUAAUGACUAAGAUGAAUUCAUAAUUUUGUUAAACGUAUUAAAUAUGUUAAAUUUAAAUAUUUACCAACAUUACAAAUGUUUUUAAAUAGUCAUACAAAAUUAAUGUCUAAAGUAGAAAUCUUCUUAAAAUUUUUUAACAUAUUAAAUACAUUUAAAUUAUAAUUUUACUUAUAUUCAAAAUUUUUUAAAUAAGUGAUACAAAUUAAUGUCUAAACUAUAGGAAUUUAAAAGUUUCUUAAACAUAUUAAAUAUGUUUGAAUUAAAAGUUAUACUAAACAUUACAAUUUUUUUAAAUAGUAAUACAAAAUUCCUCUAAUAAAUUUCACUUUUAAUUUUAAUAUUUAAUAUUUAAUUAAAUUCAUCGUAUUAGAAUAGAACUAUUUCUAAAAUUUCUAUAAUUUGAUUAAUGCAUAAUUCUUAGUAAACACUAAAACAUUUAAAUAGAUGCAUAAUUAUUGUCUAUUAAUGCAUAAAUUUGGUUAAUCAAUUAAUUUUCUAAAUUAGUGCAAAUAAUGCAUAAAUUUUAGGACCUCAAUUAAAAGUUCUUUAAAUGUUGUAUUGUUUAUUACCAAACUAACCUUGAAUAAAAUAAUCAUUUUACCUGUUAAUCAUUAAAAUUACAUUUUUACCCUCUAUUAAUCAACGGUUAAGAUCUUUUUAUUUUUUUAAAAAAAGUACCGAAUCAUUUCUCAUAUUAUAUAUAUAUAUUAUAUAUAUAUAUAUAUAUAAGGCCUUUCUGAAUAAAAAGUCACUUAUUUGGGUUUUGCAAAAUGACCAGGUUUAUUCGUUUUUACAGAUUCGUCCACUUUUUCAGCUAAAGUGACCAAAUAUUCUUAUUAUCUUUUCUCUUUCCUCUUUUUGUUUUUUCGUUCGUUUUUUUUUUCUUUUCGCCUCCUCCCGACCCCUGCCCUCCGCCUCGCCUCCUCCUCCGCCUCCCCCCCCCCCCCCGCCCUCUCCUCCUCCUCCUCGACUCCCUCUGCGACCGCCGCCUCGUCGCCGACGCCGAAUCCCUCUUCCUCCGCCCCCUUCCCUUCCUCCCCUCCCCCUUACCCCGACACCAAGGUCUACAACCUCCUCCUCCGCGGCUGGCUCAAGGUCCGCCGAUGGCGCCGCUACCGCGAGCUCUGCUCGACAUGGACCGCACCGGUCCCAAAGACCUCCAUUCUACUUCCGUCUCUUACAUGGACGCCCUCCGUCCAAGUCCGGAAGCCCUGGAACGCCGUCCGACUCUUCAAGGAGAUGUCCCGAAAGUUCGCUCCCCGACGCCGUCGCCUACAAACCGCAUCACGCGCCCUUGGAUCUUUAUCAACGGCCCGCGUGCCCACCCGCCGCCGUGGCGGGGGAGUGCUGGUCGCGGGGCGCGCGCAGUGCGGCACGGGGCAGGGUCAGCGGCAAGGCGGUACACGCGGCGGCGGCAGGCGGGCACGCGGGCGGCUGUGGCUGCUUCUUCUUCUUCUUCAUGGUGUAGGUGGCACCAUUACACCAUUAAUAGUGUAUUUCACCAUUACACGCAUUAAUGGUGUAUGGUGCACCAUUAAUGGGUAAUUAUACCAUUAACCAUUAAUGGUGUAAUGCGUGCCCAUUACAUCAUUAAUGGUGUAAUGGUUUACCAUACACCAUUACGAAGAAGAAGAACGAGUGCACCAUUACACCAUACGAAGAAGAAGAAGCCGCGUGCACGCGUACCUGCCCGCUGCCGCCGCGUUGCCCGCUCCGCCGCCGCCGCGUCACCGGCCCUGCAGCCGACCGGCCCCUCGCUGCGCUCGUGUGUGUUCGACGAAUCGCCACUUCAAGGCUUCCUGAUCCCGCCGCUUCCUUUGCUUCUCAGUAGCGGACAAGAACUCUCUCUCCUCGUGCGCCGGAGCGCGGCCCCCUCGGCACGACAGGCUUCGGACGGGUCGAGAGACGCGUCCGGGAGUUGGGAGCAGGCCGAUGGGUGCCGGCGCGGCGCACCAGCUGAGGAUCGCGUUCCUGAUAACGACGUUGGGGAUGAGGAGGGGAGAGGCGGAGGCAGAGGUCGAGAGGUUGAGGGCGUGGGAGAGGCACGAGGGUGAAGCGAGGUCGAGCACGUGUGGACGCAAGCUCCGCUCGCGAUCGGCCGUCGAGCACAGCGUCACCACCGACGAGUCGCGCACUCUGACUUGGCGCCUUCCUUGCGCCGCCUCUGCUCCUUCGGCGGCCGGAGGACCCCUCGUUGGCCGCCUUCCGUGGGAUCGCGAGAGGAGGCGACGCGCGUCCCUGGGAAAAGAAAGAAAAAAAAACAACGAGAAAAAAAAAGAGAGAAGAAAAACGUAUAAGGGUAUUUUAGUCAGUUUGCUGAAAAAGUGGACCGAAUCUGCUAAAACGAAAAGGUGGUCCGAUUUUGCAAAAGCCCAAAAUAAGUGGAUUUUUUAUGCAAAAGCCUAUAUAAUAAUAUAUUAAAUAUAAUAUAAUAUAUCAUAUAUAUAUAUAAUAUAUAUAUAUAUAUAUUCAUUCUUACCUGGAGGUUGUUAAUAUAAAAAGUAUUUAAUUACCGUUUUAUACUAACUUAAAAUUUUAAAGUAUAACGAUUAUUUCACAUGACAUCAAAGCACGAGGUUUUAAGUGCGUGUCAUAUCAGGCUCCUAAUAUUAUUAUUAUUUUUUUCAUUAAUUUCAAGUACACAUCCGGGAUUUACAAACAAUUUCGAGCACCAUUUUCUAGGCAUGCUAUAAUCCAAUGAGGAAAAAAAGCUUAAAUUUACUUAUACUCUGAUAAAUAGAAAGUACAGUUUGUUCCAGAAGCCGAACUGAACAAGCAUUAGCAUACAUUUUCAAAAAAAAACUUUAAUAGGAAGCUUCCUAAUGAGGCUUUAUUGGAGAGUUCUUGAUUCGCUACUAUAUGUUAGAUUUUUUCUUCCUAUUUUGUGGAUCGUAAGUGCUAAUCAACUAUUCCAAAAGCACACGCGUAUGGAUAGAAAGGACGUACCCAUUGCACAUAAGGAUUUAGCCACAGUGCUCGCGGAUUUCGAUCCGAUUCAACCCAUAUGAACAUUGGGUCUAUUGUUGAGCCUCGAGCUUGCCGUUAGGUCUCUUAUGUACCGCACCUCCACUCAAUUUAUAAGUCUUCUGGAUCUAUUGUUACGGGACAUGAUGUUUGACUUAUUUUAGUCCAAUAAUAAGUAGCCAAUAAUUCCAACUCCAGAUCAUUUUGCUAAUGUUAAAUUUAGUGCAAUUGCAAGUCUCAGUGUGAUAGAUAUACUUUCUUGCAGAGUCUCAGAUUUGAUCAAUCAAUCUUGUGUUCUUGAGCAUCACCUUGCAAUGGAAAUCACAUCUUUUAUGAAUGUGCCCGUACGUACGUAGUAGAUCUCUUGGAAUUUCAUGGAUGAAUCGAACCAGUUUGAUUGUGUUUUCUUUUAGUUUCGUUCUUGUACAAAAUUAAAUUUCAUGUUAUAUAGUUUUGCUAUUGGGAGCUAUAUAUAUAUAAACCAAAUUACUUGAAGAGUCUGGUUGUUUUGUUGGCUUAUUUUUUGGGUAAUAUUGGUUCUGUCAAUGACCAUUUUAUUUACAAUUUAAUCACUGCUGCAAUAUUUUUCGUUUUAAUGAAUUGCUAUUUUAAGUAAUGCUAUGGACACGUGCUAUGCUCAAAUCCUCCCAUCAGCUUUUUCAUGUAAGGUGAAUUUUUAAGUUAAAAGAGCUUUUACUUUUCGAGCACAGAAUCACAUAUUUUUCACUCAGCUUCUUGUUGCAAAAGAAGCCCAUAAUAAAUCAGAGGAUGUUGUAAUUUUAUUUGUAUCCAACCAAAUGGAUUAGGCUUAUUAUUACUUUUAUUUCAAACUACAAUCCCCAUGGAAUGGGCUUCCACAAAGCCACCUCCUUUAUUCCACACGCAUUUAUACAAUACGUAGGCAUACGUGUAUGUAUAUAUCUGUACGUAUAGUAGCUAGUAUCUGUGAUCUAAGGGCAAAACACAACCUGGUAGUUGGUGUUUCCAGGGCAAGUGAAAUUGGUGCCGUCGUAAUCGUCAGGAUAGCUGAAUGCCUGAGGGCACUGGCCCUUGAAGUACUCGGAGUACUGCGUCGGGUUGCAGCUGCUCCCGGACGGGCAGCAGUACUCGGGCGUCCCGAAGAUCGUGCACGGGUCGUCGCACCCGCCGGGCACCUGCAGCGGCGCCGGGCAGUUCGCAUUUACGUUGGCCGCGCAGCUCGGCCCCGAUGUGCAGCCGUUCGACGUCGGCGUGAAGCUCAGCGGCACGUUGAACCCUGAAAACAAAGCGCUUAUGUUCAUUCACAAAUUUGUACUGUAAAUUAAACACUGUUAUCUGAUAGUUUAAGUUUAUAGAAUAAAAGUACCAGCCACGAGGGAGAUGUCAAAGUAGUCGAGGCCCGCAUACUGAUCGAGAGCAUACUCGGCGAGAGUAUUGGGGUUCUGUCCGUAGCCGGUGCAGGCGAGGACGCCGCCGCAGUCGCCGGUCUGGCAGUGGCCGUUGCCAUUGGAGUCGAAGGAGCAGCCGGUGCGAGCCCAGACGCGGCCGCCGGUGGUGCCGUCAGCCACGUUGAAGGUCCAGGACUGGCCUGGGUUGAGCUGGGCGCCGCCACCGGGGGAGGCGGCGGCCCAGACGGUGUAGGAGCAUUGGUUGAUGACGUUGAAGGUCGAGGCGGCGGCGAGAGGGAGGAGGGCGAGGAGCAGGAGAGGGAGAGUGGUUUGUGUGGCCAUUUCUGGGGAGAAAUUGGAUUCAAAGUGUUGUUGUUGUUGUUGUUGUUGUUG
rnacentral:lncRNA from 1 species